rnacentral:rRNA from 1 species
UGGGGAAUAUUGGACAAUGGGCGCAAGCCUGAUCCAGCCAUACCGCGUGGGUGAAGAAGGCCUUCGGGUUGUAAAGCCCUUUUGUUGGGAAAGAAAAGCAGCCGGUUAAUACCCGGUUGUUCUGACGGUACCCAAAGAAUAAGCACCGGCUAACUUCGUGCCAGCAGCCGCGGUAAUACGAAGGGUGCAAGCGUUACUCGGAAUUACUGGGCGUAAAGCGUGCGUAGGUGGUUGUUUAAGUCUGUCGUGAAAGCCCUGGGCUCAACCUGGGAAUGGCGAUGGAAACUGGGCGACUAGAGUUUGGCAGAGGGUAGUGGAAUUCCUGGUGUAGCAGUGAAAUGCGUAGAGAUCAGGAGGAACAUCCGUGGCGAAGGCGACUGCCUGGGCCAACACUGACACUGAGGCACGAAAGCGUGGGGAGCAAACA